GGAAAGCAAGACUCUUCCCCAGCCAGGGACCAGCCACUUGAGUGCCAAUACUCACAUUAAGAUGGUGCGGUGAAAUGCUGCACUCCAAGACUGAGAGUGGUGACCGUGGCAACAGAUGCUGUGGGGUGGGUUUUUUCGACGCCCACCACACGAGGCUGAGGUUGGAGCAUUGGCAAGCCAGCUGCUCACCACAGUCAUCCUGGCACUGGUCCUUGCAAGAUGGAGAAAGGCGGAGGUGAACGAGGGAAAUGGAAGUGGGUCAGUGGAGAAGGCCACCGACCGUCACCAAUUUUUUUUUUCCUUUUCCAUUCAACCUCCUUUGCUCUACUCUUCCAUCAGGGGUGGAAUUGUUUUGAGCUGUCAUAUGCAUGCUCAGCAUGGUAUGCAUAUAUAACACUGACACAGGGCUAAUACAGUACAAAGCUAAUACAGGCAAACAAACCUGCUAUGCUCCUAGAAAGAGCCAUCACUUGUGAAAAAUACACACAGUAAUACUUUGAAUUUGUAUUAAAAUGCUGAUCAGUAAUUAGCCUAUUAUGAGUAAAGACUGAUGAGUAAAAUGAGCUACUCUGAAUAGGUUAGC